AUCAUCAACGUCACAUUCGUUUGUUGUAAAUUACCUUCUCCUCUCUGGACACUCGCCGCGCGCACACUCGACCGCAUCAUCAACCCCCGGUAAAAGGGGCAAGGUGGCAAGUUCAAGGUUGCUACUGUUUUGCGGGAUCCGCAAAACGGCAAACCGCCGACGACUGGUAGUUGUGGCUGUGGUGCGAACUUGCCGAACUGCCUCCGCACGGUUCCACCGGUUCCCGAACACGGCCGGGCCCGGUCUGGGAAUCCCGAAGCGAUAUACUGCGGUUACAUCGACUGGUACAAUUUGAGUUCUUCUUCCUCCGUUAUUGCCACAACUGGGCCGAAGCUAAUCUUUCAACCGACCAAACCUCACAAGAUUGGUUAAAGAAGCAAACCGAGACUGUGAAGAAGAGAAAAAACGCUCACACACACACACACUCCGACGCACAUGAAGAAUUGGGUAAAGACUCCAAUGGCCGAUAAAUCGAUUUGUUCUGCUGUUGAGUUCGUGCCGCUUCGAUUGCUCCCAUUUCGAACCUGGAUAUUACAAAUCGGGCGGUGGACGAGGACGCUCAUCUGCGAGCUGGACGGGAUGUCUGCUUGUGAGACGUGAGGACCUGAGGUGGCCAGUAACUAGUCGAGGACGGGUAUGCCUGGUAGGUCUUUGCCUUCCCAACGGAAGCAACCACUUUGCGGUGUCCGCACAUAAUCAACAGCAUCAUCAUUUUGCAUCGAUCGCGCUAUUAUUCGGACCAUGCUGUGGUCAGGGGUUUGGGCGACAUGUUAGGAGGCCCCUUCUUUUCCCGAGGUGCGAUAACUUCAUCACUUACGUACGCCCGCUACAAUACACAUUAAAAAAAAAAUCUCCGAGGAAAACACAUCAGCCACGGUUACCUCGGCAAACGAUGUGCUUUUUGAUGUCUGAUUUCGAUCUCCCAUUGUGUACUACGAUGUCCAGGAAACAAACAAAAAAUCCUCCAAUAUUUCAAGUGCUGCUGCGCGUUGUAACAAAUUACAUGUGGAAAGCUCUCGAUUAUUAAGACAGCGGUACACAGAUGUAUCUCCUUUCUUCUCGAACCCCGAGCACUUGUGGAGCAUUAGCGUUGAAAGGGAAUUGGAGCUUUAAUUCUUCUGGUCAGAUCGUGCAGGAUACCGGACCUAGCUCGAGGUCCCUAUAUUUGGACGAGCUCAUCGAUCAUCUCUGAGCGCGCAGUAACCGUGGAGUAGCGGGCUGCUCUAAAACGAUGCGACCCCAUUCGACCUAAGAAGGAUCAGGCAUGUGACCGGCGGAGCUAAGCGUCAUAAUUGAUGUCCGCACAUAACUCAUGUGUGAGGGCGCGUGUGUUCAAGUUUUAUUUACCCCGACGAGCUCAAGCAUUAGGCGAGAGAUUUUUAAACCUGGCGUAAGACCUGGUGCGGGAUAAAGGACCAUUCUGGUUCGCGGUAUAAGUCAUGCCGGAUCGGGUCGAUCGAAUGCCCGGCAGCCACCCUGCCCAGGGAAUGAAUGAGUACAUUAAUCUAAUUCCGCUCUUGAUUGUCGACCGGCCGUAAUAAGCGUUCCUUGUAUUCCUCAUCUCUCCAAGUUCAAGAAAUUCCAAGUGAAAUGAUUUCAGUAUAGUAGAAUCACCCAUCUGCAACUAGCUCGCUCCACAAGAAACUCUGCAGAAGGUGUGAAGAGUAGCUAUUGUAGGCUAUAACAACUACAAUAAAGCCCUUAUCUGCUUUAUUCAUCCUCCAAAAAAAAAAAAA